rnacentral:rRNA from 1 species
UACGGAGGGUGCAAGCGUUAAUCGGAAUCACUGGGCGUAAAGCGUGCGCAGGCGGUUUGUUAAGUCCGUUGUGAAAGCCCCGAGCUCAACUUGGGAAUUGCAGUGGAUACUGGCAGGCUGGAGUACGGUAGAGGAAGGUGGAAUUCCCGGUGUAGCAGUGAAAUGCGUAGAUAUCGGGAGGAACACCAGUGGCGAAGGCGGUUCUCUGGGCCUUACCUGACGCUGAGGAGCGAAAGCGUGGGGAGCGAACAGG